CCUACGGGAGGCAGCAGUAGGGAAUAUUGCGCAAUGGGCGAAAGCCUGAUGCAGCAACGCCGCGUGGGUGAUGAAGGUUUUCGGAUCGUAAAAUCCUGUUGUUAGAGAAGAAAGUGAGGGAGUCUAACUAAUAAGCACCGGCGAACUACGUACCAGUAGCCGAGGGAAUACGGAGGGUGCAAGCGUUAGUCGGAAUUAAUGGGCGUAAAGAGCACGGAGGCGGUUUAUUAAGUCUGAUGUGAAGGCCUACGGCUUAACCGGAGAACUGCAUUUGAAACUGGAAGACUUGAGUGUGGGAGAGGUGGGUGGAACUCCUGGUGUAGCGGUAAAAUGCGUAGAGAUAAAGAGGAAUACCAAUGGCGAAAGCGACUCGCUAGAACGUAACUGACGCUGAGGUUCGAAAGCGUGGGUAGCAAACAGGAUUAGAUACCCGAGUAGUC
rnacentral:rRNA from 1 species